rnacentral:rRNA from 1 species
CCUACGGGUGGCAGCAGUCGAGAAUCAUUCACAAUGGGGGAAACCCUGAUGGGGCGACGCCGCGUGGGGGAAUGAAGGUCUGCGGAUUGUAAACCCCUGUCAUGUGGGAGCAAAUUAAAAAGAUAGUACCACAAGAGGAAGAGACGGCUAACUCUGUGCCAGCAGCCGCGGUAAUACAGAGGUCUCAAGCGUGGUUCGGAAUCACUGGGCGUAAAGCGUGCGUAGGCUGUUUCGUAAGUCGGGUGUGAAAGGCGCGGGCUCAACCCGCGGACGGCACAUGAUACUGCGAGACUAGAGUAAAUGAGGGGGAAGCCGAAUUUCUGGUGUAGCCGGGAAAUGCGUAGAUAUCGAGAGGAACACUCGUGGCGAAGGCGGGUUCCUGGACAUUAACUGACGCUGAGGCACGAAGGCCAGGGGAGCGAAAGGGAUUAGAUACCCCAGUAGUC